AUUGAACGCUGGCGGCAUGCUUUACACAUGCAAGUCGAACGGAUCUAGGGGCUUGCUCCUAGGUUAGUGGCGAACGGGUGAGUAAUGCAUCGGAACGUACCGUGUAGUGGGGGAUAACCCGGCGAAAGUCGGAUUAAUACCGCAUACGAUCUACGGAUGAAAGCGGGGGACCUUCGGGCCUCGCGCUAUACGAGCGGCCGAUGUCGGAUUAGCUAGUUGGUGAGGUAAAGGCUCACCAAGGCGACGAUCCGUAGCGGGUCUGAGAGGAUGAUCCGCCACACUGGGACUGAGACACGGCCCAGACACCUACGGGAGGCAGCAGUGGGGAAUUUUUGGACAAUGGGGGCAACCCUGAUCCAGCCAUGCCGCGUGAGUGAAGAAGGCCUUCGGGUUGGUUAAAGACGU
rnacentral:rRNA from 1 species